GAUGAACGCUGGCGGCGUGCCUAAUACAUGCAAGUCGAGCGAACGGACGAGAAGCUUGCUUCUCUGAUGUUAGCGGCGGACGGGUGAGUAACACGUGGAUAACCUACCUAUAAGACUGGGAUAACUUCGGGAAACCGGAGCUAAUACCGGAUAAUAUUUUGAACCGUAUGGUUCAAAAGUGAAAGACGGUCUUGCUGUCACUAAUAGAUGGAUCCGCGCUGCAUUGGCUAGUUGGUAAGGUAACGGCUUACCAAGGCAACGAUGCAUAGCCGACCUGAGAGAGUGAUCGGCCACACUGGAACUGAGACACGGUCCAGGCUCCUACGGGAGGCAGCAGUAGGGAAUCUUCCGCAAUGGGCGAAAGCCUGGCGGAGCAACGCCGCGUGAGUGAUGAAGGUCUUCGGAUCGUAAAACUCUGUUAUUAGGGAAGAACAUAUGUGUAAGUAACUGUGCACAUCUUGACGGUACCUAGUCAGAAAGCCACGGCUAACUACGUG
rnacentral:rRNA from 1 species